GAGGGGAAGGGCUGCUGGCGUUAGGCCUGGCUGGGUCGUGCGGCUGAGCGUGAGGCUAGAAAGAAAAAGCGAUCCUCCAAGAGUGAGAACGGGAGAUCUGCCGAGGAUAACAACCUCCCUUGUGGCCGAAGGGCGGGGGAUCCCCACACGAGGGCUCCGCUUCGAGAGACGGCGACAAAGGAAAGUUCGUAGCGCGUUCCGGAGGCCCGGCCACCUCUGAGAAGGGAGACGACGCUGCUGGGUCCGCUGAGCGGGGCGACCCGAGGUUAAUUUGUAACCCAGCCAAAGAACCUAGGAGGAUGGAGGGAAGCCGUUUUUCCCUCUCCUACACCUCAGUAACCUACUGCCAGCUGAAGAAAUAGAACAUUACUAAAGCCACCUGUACAUCUUUCUCCUUUUGAAUUACCUGCCCUCCGAAGAAGUAAUGGAUUUUCUGAAUUUACUGUUAACUUUUACCAUGCAGCUUUCUAUAUCUUAAUGACAUAUUUUAAUAUAUUAAUGACAUGAAUAAAUCCCUGAAUGAGGAUAUUGUA
rnacentral:lncRNA from 10 species